UCAAGAUCGAUUUAGGCCUAUAGUCUGUAUAAAAGUAGGAAUGUUAGAAGAUCUCUGAUGAUUCAAGAACAUCAGUUUUGUAUUUAUAUUCUUUCUUCCGUGCUAUAUUGGUAAUACAUAGUAUUCACUGCUCACUAGUUUUACCAUAGAAAUUUUCUAGCUUUCUUAAUGUGGUCCCUGUAAGGAUGUGGACUUGUUAAUGUAUUAGAUUCUAAUGCCGCAUACUUGCAUUUUUAUAAUAACAAUCCGGCCAAUGAAAUCAGAAGAAUUGCAGUAGCAGUGCGGAUAUUUGUCUUCUCUUAUUGGAAUGGAUGAGCGGCAUAGAGCAGACUUUUGAAGAACCGCUUGCUAUUAGUGGAAUGAAAUCUCAGUCGGCAGGAAAGUGACAGCUACAAAUAAGUAGUAUAAUUGGCUAUCUUACUAGAUAGGCAUAAUGGAAGAUCAGUUUUCAUUUCUUUAUAGGUGGAAUUCAUAUGAUGAUGAUGGUUUUCAGUGGUAUGAUAAGCUGUAGCAUAGAAUAUAUUUGAACAUGCAUUCCACUUUAUGCUGAUAGAUGCUCCCAGAAGUUCCAGUGAAGAAUUGUUUAUUCACAAAGAGGCCUUGCCUUUUGGAUUCUGCUUUAGAUAAAACAAUGCAAUUUGCUUCACUGAUCCUUGUUACUCUACUGAUGAUAGGUGGUUCUGCCUGAGCUUUUGAUAUUCUAACAUGCCAUUAUGCAGCUCUUCCGCCAAUGGCUGUCAGGUACCUCAACAAGUCUGGAGAUAGUGCGAUUUCAGAAUCGAAUCAUAUAUGCAUCAAGGGAGGGGACCAAAUCACUCCACUCUUUUGGGACUUAUCGAGAGGGUGGUGAAGAGGUUAAAAUAUUUGUGUAUUUCCGUUAGAAAUCGUUUAACAGCGUUAGUUUCAGGGGCAGCAGGGGUAAUUGUGUGAUUAAUGGCUACAUCUGUGUGUAUGUGCUGCAUCUGUUCUUGUUGUUCUGUUUCAAGCCCAUAUGCAAAACUAGUUGUACUCAGAAUAUGUAAUGCAGUAUGGCUGUGAGCCUGUGAUGCUUAUUAAGUUAAUCUCUUGCUAAUGUUUAUAUUAUCUU